GUGCGGAGAUGCCAUCAGCCCGUCCUUCUCACCCGCUUGCCUGACCCCUGGACAUGUCCACGUCCAUCUGGAGCCUGCUGCUCUGUGGUGCUUAGCAGGGUCGACUCGGAUCCCCGGGCGCCCGAGCAUUCGGUCCUGGGACCUCGUAGAGGGUUGAAUUGUGUCUCCCCCUGCUCAACCGUCUGAGUCCCGACCCCGAGGAGGUGGAACCGACCUCAUCUGGGCAAAAGGGACUUUGCUGAAGUCAGUAAGAGAAGCGUCUAAGAUGGGA
rnacentral:lncRNA from 1 species